CUCUGAGGAGUAAGGGUCACCAUCGUGUUCAGGCUGCAGAUUGAGUGAAGGUCUUUUCCAUGUGAAUUUGUCCUGCAUCUGGGAUAAAGGUAUAAUGAUUACCUAAAGCAUGUUCUGUUCAUGGAAGAUCACUGGAACACAAAAGACCAAGCUCACAGCAUAUUCAAGACAUCUGCUCGUAUUCCACUGGCCAAAGAAAGUGAUGUGGCCCAGCCUAAAGUCAGGAACAGGAGCAGGAGGCUUUGACAACUGAGAUCUUCGAUCAUGAGUGUUGUGAAUGCAGACGGGGUUUUGUACUCCAGGCACUGUGCUAGGCACCAGGACUAUAAUACAACUUGUGAUCUGUAGAGGAGUCAGACAAUUAUCCAGGCAUCCCAAAGAAAUGUCAAUUGCAAACAAACACCACCCAACACGCCUCAUGUAUAUCAUUUUAAGCUACAGAAAUAUGGAAUCUUCAGUGAAGUUUACCUUUGGGGCCACUCCCACCUUAACCUGGCCUGGAUCCCUUUUUCCCUGGAGGCUGUUCUGAAGAUGGCACCCUACCUGCUCACCUUUUAGUGUACCUGGGCACCCAUGCCUCCAUAUGGUGACCCUCAAAUCAUACUGUAUGAAGAGCAGCUGUUUUGUCAACUAUUUUUUAAUGAGAUUUUUUUUGCUUUGGUUUAAAAAAUAGCAUAUAUUUGCGUUAGAAAAUUAGAAAUACAGAAGAAACAGAAAUAUAAAAGAAUUACCUAUAACAUGCAAAAAUGACUAGUACAAAUGUUUUUGUUUUUUUACAGUAUGUGAACAUAUUGUAUGUUUAUAUUAAUAUCCAUAGUAUUUAUUUUUGCCUACAUGUUUUACUUAACAUAUGUAGUAAGCAUUUCCCAUGUUAGUCAAAUUAUUUGUGGACAUUAUUUUUAAUGACUAUUAAUGUUAUUACUCUACAGCUUGCCGAAUAAGUCUCCUAUUAUAUGUCAUUUUGGGUCCUAGCAACAUUUUUGUGUUUAAAUCCUUGUAGCAGUUUUGACUGAUUUCCUUAAGAUAGAGUCCAAGAAGAGAAAUAAUUUGCUUGUUUGUUUAUCAUUUGGUACUUUCUUUUAUGGUAAUGUCCUUGGGGCUGAUAAUUCAGAACCAUGAAUAGAUAUGAUUCUUGUCUUUGAGGAGAUUGUAGCCUUGUGCUAGGUUAAAGAAUAGGCACGUUUUAAAGUUCUCGAUACACAUUUUCAAAGUGCUUUUCAAAAAUUUGUAUCAAUUCAUCCUUCUACUAUAAGGGAAAAUCUGUUCUGGGUUGUUUUUCUGGUAUAUCUUCCUAUUAAGAACCUGUUCUCCCUCCUGCUUUGUGACUCACAUGGAGUUGCCACUGCAUGCUAUCAUCUCCAUCCCUUAGAGCAACCUAUUAGAGAACUUACUCUCUGGAGUCCCAAAAGAGAAACAACAGCAACAACUCAGCAAUUCAUCUGGGGUCAGCGUGUUACCCAGUCUGGGCCAUUGGAGAUUUUUUUAAAGGGAAGUUUCUCCUAUUUUCUUCAAAAUUCUGAGCUGUGAAGAGGACCACUAGAAAGUUCAAUCUAUUUAUGAUUUUUUAAAAAACUGUUAUUAUAUAUAUUUAAGUGUAUGUCAUGUUUCCACACAUAUAUACAUAGUGAAAUGAUCACUGUAAUCAAGCUAAUUAGAAUAUCCCCCAUCUCGCAUAGUCACCUUUGUGUGUGAAAAGGGUUCAGUGCUUCCCUCUCCACUCUUCAUCUCCCCUUUAAAAAAGCAGAGAUGAAUGGAGAGGGAAAGGUUGAACAAUGGUUAUGUGGUGGGACUGCUGGGAUUCACCUGAGAGUUAAAACCAGCUAGUUCUACCCGUAUGUUUUUCACUUAGAUAAGCCAACAAAUUAAUUUCUUUUCCUCUAUUCUUCUUGUCUUCUUUCCUGCCUCUUUACCUGUCUCCCUUCCUUCCUCUCUUCCCACUCUCUUUCUUUCCUUAUUUAAAUUGGUUUGAAUUGAGUUUCUGACACUAAUGGAGAGUCCUUAUUGUGCCUUCACGUUAUUUUUAUCAAACCAGAAAAUGUUAAUGACAUAAAACAAUUACUGUUUGGACAAGGAAAAUUGUAUUUCUUUCCUUGAAAUUUCUACACACAUACACAUUUGUGCUUGUUAGUGAGGCUAAGCAUUUUCCCCCUUAUUUGUGAAUUAUAUAUUCAAUGUUUUGAUCCAUUUAUCAAAUAAAUUCCUUAGUUUAAAAAAUAUUUGCAGGUGCGGUUAUUAUGGAAAGCAGCAUGAAGUUUCCUCUAAAUAUUAAAAAUAGAAUCACCACAUGACUCAGCAAUCCCUCCUCUCUAUAUAUUUUUAAAGGAAAUGAAAUCAGCACUUCAUGGAACUAUCUCCACUCCCGGCUGGGCGCAGUGGCUCACGCCUGUAAUCCCAGCACUUUGGAAGGCCAAGGCAGGUGGAUCACGAGGUCAAGAGAUGGAGACCAUCCUGGCCGACAUGGUGAAACCCUGCCUCUACUAAAAAUACAAAAAUUAGCUGGGCGGGGAGGCACAUGCCUGUAAUCCCAGCCACUCGGGAGGCUGAGACAGGAGAAUCGCUUCAACCUGGGAGGCGGAGGUUGCAGUGGCUGAGAUCGCACCACUGCAGUCCAACCUGGUGACAGAGGGAGACUCCAUCAAAAAAAAAAAAAAGAAAAAAAGAAAUAUCUCCACUCUUAUAGUCAUUGAAGCAUAAUUAACAAUAACCAAGCUAUGAAAUCAAUGUAAGUGCCCAUCAAUGGAUGAGUGGAUAAAGAAAAUGUUACACACACACACACACACACACACACACACACACAGUGGAAUUUCAUGUAGCCUUAAAAAAGAAGACGAUUUUGUUAUUUAUAACAUGCCUGAAUGUGGAGGACAUUAGGUUAAGUGAAAUAAGCCAGAAAGAAAAAUACUGCAUGAUCUUACUUAUAUGUGGAAUCUAAAAACGUCAAGUACAAAAAAGCAAAAAGUAGAAUAGUGGUUGCUGGGAUCUGGGGCUGAGAUUAUGAUGGGCAAAUGGGAAGAAAUUGAGUGCAGAGUUUUGAUUAGGAUCAAUAAGUCUAGAGAGCAAAUGUACAGCAUGAAGACUAUAGUUACUACUGGGUUGUAUACUGGAAAUUUGCUAAGAAAGUAGGUUGUAGGUCCUCUUACCAUACACACAUAUACAGGUAACUAUGCGAGAUGAUGGAUAUUCUAAUUAGAUUGACUGUAGUAAUCAUUUCACUAUGUAUGUGUAUGAAAACAUGACAUACACCUUAAAUAUAUAUAAUAACAUUAAAAAAACCCAAAAUCUUGAAAAGAUUAUUAAGCUUUCCAAUGCCCAAGAAAAGGAAGAAAAGAAAAAGAAACUGCCACAGCUUAUUUUAAAAAUAAAAGUGGGCUCUCUUUUUAAAAUAUUAAUUUUAUAGUACCUUAUCUGGUAACCAAAAUAUUUUUAAAUAUUCUGAUGCUAUUAUAGUAUAAUCAUUCUUUAAUAAUUUUGUAGAUUUCACUUUACUGAACAAAGCCCUAAACAAAAACAUUGAAUAUGACAAAAACUUGCAUAAGUUUAUUUCAUACUGAAGACAUAUAUGCUAUAGAUUUGUAGAAAUACUUCCCACUUGGUUACUUGCUUAUGUUAUGAGUUUUUACCUACAGAAACUUGCUUUUUUUCUUGUAAAAUUUAGAUUAAUUUCUUUGGUAUGUUUUCCUACUGCUUUAAAACUUCAGAAUUCCUUUUUUCAUAGAACUUUUCUAUUUUCACUUAGAAACAUUCAGAACUUAUGUUAGUGUGUGAUUUGAGGUGGUUUUUGUGUUGACUUUGUUUCCUACCUUGUUAGCUAUUUUUUCUAUGCCAUUGUGGAAUAAUUUGUUAAUUUUCAGUGGAUUCAUAAUGCCUUUAAAAAAUAAGGUUGUGUUCUCAGAGGUGAUAAAUUUUAUUUAUUUAUGAUGCUCCAUCUAUGUUAAGGCUAUUUGUAAGUCUAUGUGUAUGGUAGGAUUUUAGUUCUACACUGCAUCUUACACAGGUUAGUAAAAUAUAGCACAUUUAUUAAUUAUUUAGAGUAUAGGAUUACGUAUUGAUAAGUACAAGCUAUUGAGCCUUCCCAUGUCCUAGGCACUUUGCUGAAUUUUAAUCCUUAUCACAACUCAAUGGGAUAGAUACUGUUGUCAUCUUUUGUAGACAUGGGUUUAUUAUAGCUAUUUUAAAAUGAGUUAGCAAAUUCAAAUUUCAAAAAUUCUAUUUUUAUUUCUAAUAUGGUAAAUAUUGAUAAAUAAAAUUUAUAUAAACAAAUAUUUUGAUGUACUCAGUAACCCAUAAGGGUAUAUAAGAGCCCUGAAAUGAAAAAGUUUGAGAACUGCUUAUAAGCCCUAUAUAAUUAUUAGGUAUUAAUAUCAUUAUUAAUUUUUGAAUCUAUAUUCAAAUAUAGUUAUCAUAAAAUGAACUUCAUAUAUGUAAGUGUAUACUUUGAUGUGUUUUGACAUAUGUAUAUUAUAAUGAAGCCAUCAUCAUAAUUAAGAUAAUAAACAUAUCCAUCACUCUCAGAG
rnacentral:lncRNA from 10 species